CCUGCGUAAAACAUAAGUUGUGAUUUAUUUACAGAGGCCAUUGCUUGCCUUUCCCACAUUUUCCUGCUAUCCUAGACAGCUUCAGACUGUUGCUGGCGACGGUAACGUUACUUUAUGGCUUUCUUCGGGAUAACGAAUUUGGGCUAUCAAAACCCCAUCGGAGACAAUAUGUUAUUGAGUCCGAGAUCGUCUGCUUCUCCCGGUGAUGAGGUGGAUUCAAGGAGCUGGGCUAAACAGUCAGGACUGCCCUCCAUCCAAGUCCAGAGGGGACCCCCAAAAUGCACUGAUACCGGCAGUAUCUACAACCAGCCUUCUCCCUUCAGCCAAGACAUACACCAAGGGAGCCAGGGGCAAUACAGAGAGAUGCUCAAACGGGUUCAGAUACCAAGAUGUAAGUUAGAUCCCCGAAUCAGCUGUACUCAGUGCCCCUGACAGACAGCCAGCAGUGUGGAUGGUGGAUGUCUAAUGGAGGCCAAGGAAAGAUGCAUGAACCCUGGACCCAAGUCAGACGAUUCCCCCGCAAGAACAGUGAGAUGACCAAGUUUGUGAAAGAGAUGUCAAUGACGGACCGAGAGUUCAGCUUAUUCUGAUUUCCACUCCUGCAGUAACAUACACACACAAUCCCAUCCAAAGACCUCUGGGACCUUUACACUGUAAGGACUAUUGUGGUUUAAUAAACUGAGACAUUUUCAUCAUAGCAUGUUAUUUAUUUUUGUGAGCUACUGUAUCAGGUUGUCAAAUGACCUCUGCCUUUCCACUGGUAAAAUUGAGCUGUUACCUCUCUCUAGAGGAAUACAAUUGUAAUGCCCAUGAGGAAAUAAGAGUAUUUUGUUUCAGUAAUUAGUUAUUGUUACUCAGUAAGGUCAUUCAUUCGACCUUGGGGAUAGUAACUGACUAUCGGAUCAGAUACGAUAUUAUGACUGAAAAGUGUCUAGCCAAAUAUUUGAUACGGCAUGUUUGUAUAUUUAGUAAAGCUUGUAUUUUGCAUACUUUCAGUACAUUAACUAAAUCAAUAAAAUGAUAACACGAGGAAAACAUUUACUUAUCUUUAACGUUUUUCUAAAUAAGCUAACAUUACAGUAUUAUUAAUAACAUAUGAGGUCAAAGGAAUAUCCAGAUAUCACUUGCUUUCUGUCAGUACACUUUUGGCAGCAUAACUAGUUAUCCAUCACAUUUACCCCAUCCCCGCCCUAACUCCUCCCUCCUCUUGUAGGCUCCUUCCCUGUGCUCGUGUACUGUAUGCAGUGUGCUUUAACUUGCUUGUCCCUUCCCAAUAUGCGUGUGUAAACUCCUGGAGUUUCUAUGUAAAUGUAAUGAUCUGCGAGAGAGGCACUCUACCUGAGAAACAAUGCUGUUUCUGAUUAUAGGGUCAUUGAGUGAGUCAGUCAGCACUGAGCACACACACCAGUCUCAAUGGCAGGCUUGAACAAUUCAGAGGAUGUGGCUGUAGCUACCUGGCGUCUGUCUGUACAUUGAGCACUGUAACUCCUUCAUGAUAGUGCAGGGAAAGACAAAGAUAUGAAUCCUCUCAUGUAUGAAAUGUAUCGGGUAUCUUGGACUGCUUGCUCUCACCUAAUAAUUUCAUUGGUCAGCAUCUGCUCAAUGACAAUCAGCCAAUGGUAAUCCUAGUUUUUACAACAGGUCAAGAAAGCCGCACACAUUAACAGCAAUCAACACCACAUAAAACAGCCAUUGUUUUUAUUUAAAAAAAUUCUUCAAGGGGAAAUGUUAUUUUGUCUGUCAUAGUCCUAAACUCUUUUUGUCCUUCACUUCAGGAAAAACGGUGCCUUCUGAACUCCUUCAACACAGGGAUAGAAAACAAAAAGAAGGGGGCCGGAUUCAUCAGGCUUGAGCAAAACACAUUUUCAGUAGUUCUGGGAUGACCCUCCUCCCCUCAUCUGUGCCCUAAAAACAUCCCAAGAGUCAACAAUUAACAGCCACCCAACCCAAAGACAAGACAGCCCAUAGAAAUAGAAUAGAACGUGCAUCAUCUUACUAACCACGUCCAUUCUAUGUAUUCUAUUUCUAUGUUAAUCACUCUCGAUUGGGCACAACCUCAGUCAUUUAUUGACCCCAAGACCUUUACUUUUCCACGGUGGUCCCACACGCUCAAGGCCAAACAUCACUACACAGGAAGGGGCCAAUAACAUGAGACUACAUUAGCUUGCUUUGGGACGAACAUUAUCAACUUUUAGUGUCCAUAGUCAAGUGUGUUAUGAAGAUGUUAUGGGAAAGUCAAAAUUAUCAAAAUAAAGUCAGUGUUGAGUCAAUGCUAAGGUCAGUAAAUUAUUUCCAUUAGCUUUCACAGGCUGUCUAUCCUUCCCUCGAAUUCUCUGCCUCUGUGAAACUCAGUUCCUCUUCCCACUGUAUUCUCCAGUGGCUUGUUCAAUUAAGACAGAGUUCUAAUACUGCUCACACUGCUGAUUGUGUUCUGUCUCUCUGAGGAGGGCCCUGAAAUCUGAUAGGGAUGGGAUCAGUGCAUAACCUGACUGAGCUUAGUCCUGCAGUAGUG